GAUGAACGCUGGCGGCGUGCCUAAUACAUGCAAGUCGAGCGAACAGACGAGGAGCUUGCUCCUCUGACGUUAGCGGCGGACGGGUGAGUAACACGUGGAUAACCUACCUAUAAGACUGGGAUAACUUCGGGAAACCGGAGCUAAUACCGGAUAAUAUAUUUAACCGCAUGGUUCAAUAGUGAAAGACGGUUUUGCUUUCCCUUAUAGAUGGAUCCGCGCCGCAUUAGCUAGUUGGUAAGGUAACGGCUUACCAAGGCGACGAUGCGUAGCCGACCUGAGAGGGUGAUCGGCCACACUGGAACUGAGACACGGUCCAGACUCCUACGGGAGGCAGCAGUAGGGAAUCUUCCGCAAUGGGCGAAAGCCUGACGGAGCAACGCCGCGUGAGUGAUGAAGGUCUUCGGAUCGUAAAACUCUGUUAUUAGGGAAGAACAAAUGUGUAAGUAACUAUGCACGUCUUGACGGUACCUAAUCAGAAAGCCACGGCUAACUACGUG
rnacentral:rRNA from 1 species